rnacentral:rRNA from 1 species
CAACGCUGGCGGCGUGCCUAACACAUGCAAGUCGAACGCGAAAGGGGCUUCGGCCCUGAGUAGAGUGGCGUCCGGGUGAGUAACGCGUGGGUAAUCUACCCUCGGGUGGGGAAUAACCAAUCGAAAGAUUGGCUAAUACCGCAUAAUGCAGCGGCUCGACAUCGAGACAGUUGUUAAAAGCAGCAAUGCGCCAGAGGAGGAGCCCUGCGUCUGAUUAGCUUGNGGCGGGGUAACGGCCCACCAAGGCUACGAUCAGUAGCUGGUCUGAGAGGACGGCC